GCUCAGCAGCUCUGAAAAUGUACCAGGGGCUUUCAGUCGGUCCAGAGGUAAUGAAGAGAAUGUGGCCUAUGGCAGGAAUCAGCAGUCUGUGACGAACGAUGAAGAGCUGAGCAGAACACAGUACUUUGUGGACUGGUGCCAGCAGAACCACCUCCCGAUAAACUCUGCUAAAACCAAGGAACUGGAGGUGCAUUUUCUCAGGCGCAGACCCACCAAACCGCACUGGGACUUGUUUGCCAACUAUAGAGAGACUGAGUGAGACAUUAUGUUGAUAACUUGCUCAAG